rnacentral:rRNA from 1 species
GAUGCCGAUGUCGUGGUGCCGAAUAAUGGCGACGCGAAAGAGAAAUCGAGUAGGGCCCUGGGGAGAGUACACGCGCAAGCGAGAAAUUUAAAGGAAAUUGACGGAAGAACACCACAAGGAGUGGAGUGUGCGGCUUAAUUUGACUCAACGCGGGACAACUUACCGGGCCCGACGACCGUAUGAGUGUAACACACGAUAGGUCGAAGAGUGGUGCAUGGCCGUUAACGACGAGUGGAGUGAUCUUUGGGUUAAGUCCGUAAAUUAGUGAGACCUCAGCCGUAAGGGACAGGUGCGCAAAGCACAGGAAGGAUGGGUCAAGGACAGGUCAGUGAUGCCCUUAGAUGGUCCGGGCUGCACGCGCACUACAGUGGUCGCCGAAAUUACCUGAUAAUUUUAAAGGCGAUCGAGAGGAAAUGAGCUUUGUAAGAGGCUCAGGAACGAGGAAUUGCUAGUAAUCGCGGACU